GAUGAACGCUGGCGGCGUGCCUAAUACAUGCAAGUCGAGCGAACAGACGAGGAGCUUGCUCCUCUGACGUUAGCGGCGGACGGGUGAGUAACACGUGGAUAACCUACCUAUAAGACUGGGAUAACUUCGGUAAACCGGAGCUAAUACCGGAUAAUAUAUUGAACCGCAUGGUUCAAUAGUGAACGACGGUUUUGCUGUCACUUAUAGAUGGAUCCGCGCCGCAUUAGCUAGUUGGUAAGGUAACGGCUUACCAAGGCAACGAUGCGUAGCCGACCUGAGAGGGUGAUCGGCCACACUGGAACUGAGACACGGUCCAGACUCCUACGGGAGGCAGCAGUAGGGAAUCUUCCGCAAUGGGCGAAAGCCUGACGGAGCAACGCCGCGUGAGUGACGAAGGUCUUCGGAUCGUAAAACUCUGUUAUUAGGGAAGAACAAAUGUGUAAGUAACUAUGCACGUCUUGACGGUACCGAAUCAGAAAGCCACGGCUAACUACGUG
rnacentral:rRNA from 1 species